GAGUUUGAUCCUGGCUCAGGACGAACGCUGGCGGCGUGCUUAACACAUGCAAGUCGAACGGAAAGCGCUUUUCGGAGUGACUCGAGUGGCGAACGGGUGAGUAACACGUGGGUGAUCUGCCCUGCACUUUGGGAUAAGCCUGGGAAACUGGGUCUAAUACCGGAUAGGACUACGAAUCGCAUGGUUUGUGGUGGAAAGCUUUUGCGGUGUGGGAUGGGCCCGCGGCCUAUCAGCUUGUUGGUGGGGUGAUGGCCUACCAAGGCGACGACGGGUAGCCGGCCUGAGAGGGUGUCCGGCCACACUGGGACUGAGAUACGGCCCAGACUCCUACGGGAGGCAGCAGUGGGGAAUAUUGCACAAUGGGCGCAAGCCUGAUGCAGCGACGCCGCGUGAGGGAUGACGGCCUUCGGGUUGUAAACCUCUUUCAACAGGGACGAAGCGUAAGUGACGGUACCUGUAGAAGAAGCACCGGCCAACUACGUGCCAGCAGCCGCGGUAAUACGUAGGGUGCGAGCGUUGUCCGGAAUUACUGGGCGUAAAGAGCUCGUAGGUGGUUUGUCGCGUUGUUCGUGAAAACUCACAGCUUAACUGUGGGCGUGCGGGCGAUACGGGCAGACUGGAGUACUGCAGGGGAGACUGGAAUUCCUGGUGUAGCGGUGGAAUGCGCAGAUAUCAGGAGGAACACCGGUGGCGAAGGCGGGUCUCUGGGCAGUAACUGACGCUGAGGAGCGAAAGCGUGGGGAGCGAACAGGAUUAGAUACCCUGGUAGUCCACGCCGUAAACGGUGGGUACUAGGUGUGGGUUUCCUUCCUUGGGAUCCGUGCCGUAGCUAACGCAUUAAGUACCCCGCCUGGGGAGUACGGCCGCAAGGCUAAAACUCAAAGGAAUUGACGGGGGCCCGCACAAGCGGCGGAGCAUGUGGAUUAAUUCGAUGCAACGCGAAGAACCUUACCUGGGUUUGACAUGCACAGGACGUGCCUAGAGAUAGGUAUUCCCUUGUGGCCUGUGUGCAGGUGGUGCAUGGCUGUCGUCAGCUCGUGUCGUGAGAUGUUGGGUUAAGUCCCGCAACGAGCGCAACCCUUGUCUCAUGUUGCCAGCGCGUUAUGGCGGGGACUCGUGAGAGACUGCCGGGGUCAACUCGGAGGAAGGUGGGGAUGACGUCAAGUCAUCAUGCCCCUUAUGUCCAGGGCUUCACACAUGCUACAAUGGCCGGUACAAAGGGCUGCGAUGCCGUGAGGUGGAGCGAAUCCUUUCAAAGCCGGUCUCAGUUCGGAUCGGGGUCUGCAACUCGACCCCGUGAAGUCGGAGUCGCUAGUAAUCGCAGAUCAGCAACGCUGCGGUGAAUACGUUCCCGGGCCUUGUACACACCGCCCGUCACGUCAUGAAAGUCGGUAACACCCGAAGCCGGUGGCCUAACCCGUAAGGGGGGGAGCCGUCGAAGGUGGGAUCGGCGAUUGGGACGAAGUCGUAACAAGGUAGCCGUACCGGAAGGUGCGGCUGGAUCACCUCCUUUCU
rnacentral:rRNA from 1 species